rnacentral:lncRNA from 1 species
AUUUUUUGUAAUGUUGAAUUCUCUAUUAUUAUAAGUAAUAGGAUAACUAUAUUUGAUAUGUGCGUACCUUGCAAGGUUCUCAUGUCUGUUAGACAGUUUUCACUUGACCUCGACCUCAUUUCAUGGAUCAGUGAACAAGGUUAAGUUUUGGUGGUCAAGUCCAUAUCUCAGAUACUAUAAGCAAUAGGGCUAGUAUAUUCGGUGUAUGGAAAGACUGUAAGGUGUACAUGUCCAACUGGCAGGUGUCAUCUGACCUUGACCUCAUUUUCAUGGUUCAGUGGUUAUAGUUAAAUUUUUGUGUUUUGGUCUGUUUUUCUCAUACUAUAUGCAAUAGGUCUACUAUAUUUGUUGUAUGGAAUGAUUGUAAGGUGUACAUGUCUAGCGGGCAGAUGUCAUGUGACCUUGACCUCAUUUUUAGGUUCAGUGGUCAAAGUUAAGUUUUUUGAGUUUUGGUCUUUUUAUCUAAUACUAUAUGCCAUAGGUCAACUAUAUUUGGUGUAUGGAAAUAUUUUAUGAUCUUCAUGUCAGUCGCGCA